rnacentral:lncRNA from 1 species
UCACCCGGGAGUAUUCUAGAGUAUCGAUUUUCCACAGGGAACGUGAGUGUACUAAUUAAGAAUCAAGAUCGCCCAAGGAUAACUAUAUAACUAUUUUUGGUGGGAAGAGAGGAAGUUUCCUGAGAGUUCACUAGUUGAUCUAAGAAUCAAGAAUUACUUCAAGAUUAUCUAUUUUGGGACAUCAAAACACUAACCACGGAAAG